rnacentral:rRNA from 1 species
UACGUAGGGUGCGAGCGUUGUCCGGAAUUAUUGGGCGUAAAGGGCUCGUAGGCGGUUUGUCGCGUCGGGAGUGAAAACACCGGGCUUAACUCGGUGCUUGCUUUCGAUACGGGCAGACUAGAGGCAUGCAGGGGAGAACGGAAUUCCUGGUGUAGCGGUGAAAUGCGCAGAUAUCAGGAGGAACACCGGUGGCGAAGGCGGGUCUCUGGGCCGGAACUGACGCUAAGGAGCGAAAGCGUGGGGAGCGAACAGG